rnacentral:rRNA from 1 species
CCUACGGGAGGCUGCAGUGGGGGAUAUUGGACAAUGGGGGGAACCCUGAUCCAGCGACGCCGCGUGAGUGAAGAAGUAUUUCGGUAUGUAAAGCUCUGUCAGCAGGGAAGAAAGCAAUGACGGUACCUGACCAAGAAGCCCCGGCUAACUACGUGCCAGCAGCCGCGGUAAUACGGAGGGGGCAAGCGUUAUCCGGAAUUACUGGGUGUAAAGGGAGCGUAGACGGCUGUGCAAGUCUGGAGUGAAAGGCGGGGGCUCAACCCCCGGACUGCUCUGGAAACUGUAUGGCUGGAGUGCAGGAGAGGUAAGCGGAAUUCCUAGUGUAGCGGUGAAAUGCGUAGAUAUUAGGAGGAACACCAGUGGCGAAGGCGGCUUACUGGACUGUAACUGACGUUGAGGCUCGAAAGCGUGGGGAGCAAACAGGAUUAGAUACCCCUGUAGUC